rnacentral:rRNA from 1 species
UGGGGAAUAUUGGACAAUGGGGGCAACCCUGAUCCAGCAAUGCCGCGUGUGUGAAGAAGGCCUUCGGGUUGUAAAGCACUUUUGUCCGGAACGAAACGUGUCGGGUUAAUAACCCGGCAAACUGACGGUACCGGAAGAAUCAGCCCCGGCUCACUACGUGCCAGCAGCCGCGGUAAUACGUAGGUGGCAAGCGUUGUCCGGAUUUAUUGGGUUUAAAGGGUGCGUAGGCGGCCCUGUAAGUCAGCGGUGAAAUACGGCAGCUCAACUGUCGAGGUGCCGUUGAUACUGCGGGGCUUGAGUACCGAUGAGGCAGGCGGAAUUGACGGUGUAGCGGUGAAAUGCUUAGAUAUCGUCAAGAACACCGAUAGCGAAGGCAGCCUGCCAAGGGGUAACUGACGCUGAGGCACGAAAGUGCGGGGAUCAAAC